UCGAUAAGGCUCGGCUGCAACCCACCCACCUCCUGCCCCAGGAUGCUGUUCAUUCUUUUCUUGGCGGGGUCGCCUUGAUUCCGGUUUCGGACCUUGCCUGGUGUGGACACUUGUGCAGGUUAGGAAGAGAAUCUUUGGGGCUGUUUUGUGGGUCCACGCUGACUCUUUUGUGAACUCUGGGCCCUAAAGUCUUGGGCAGUACUGGGGCCAGGAACACCCAGGAAAGAGCGCACGUUUCGGGUGGUAAAGUCUGCAUUAGAGAGUGAUUGACAUAGGCAAGGACAGAGAGGAUGGGAGCGGAUCAAAAUGUGAGACUUUAAGAUGCUAAGUUGGGAAUGGUUUAAUUUUAAUAAACCUUAAAGAACCGAUGGUUUUGAUUACCUUUAGAGCCACUUCGAAGCCGCGAAGAAAAAUAGGUUCAUAUAUUUGAACAGCUGCUGCGGCUUAAAGAAUUGUUUUUGUAGGAGACAGGCCUACUAACAGACCUGACAAAAGAAUUAAACAAUCUUGCCGAGAGGACAUGAUUCAGUAUGUGACUCCUGAAGGAAUCCAAGAAGGAACAGAAAACAUCUUGAAAGCAGGAUGUACGCCUGCGGAUGGAAAGCCAUCAACAGACUGUUCCUAUCCUUGGUGCCUGGGAGGUACAUAAAGGUUACCUGGGUCUCUGUCCUUGAGGCAGAAAAAGGGGGAUACAAAGAUAUUAAAUGUUAACUGUGCAGGAUUAUCACUGAAGGCCACCUGGCCCGCUGUGCUCAUGUAAACACAUACAAGCAAGUCUCAAAAAGUAUAAUAAAGCAGACUUGAGAUCAGUUUGGGUACCUUCACCUCGUGGGGCUGUUGGUCCCCUGAUCCCUGCUGUAACUUUCUUGAGUGUUUCUCAUUCUUUCGCCAUGGUGGCGCUUUGGAGAACCUGUGCUGUCGAGCUGGACUCGACAAGUGGCGCCCCAGCAGGGACCUGAAAGUGAAACCAGCUUUGGAAGCUUCUUAGGAGGCAAGGAACACGGGGAAUUCCGACCGAAGAGGUGGACGUGGAAAGUACCUGAUGCAAAUAAAGAAUGUAAAGCUGGAUAUUACGGUCCAACCACCAAAAUUUGGCAGUCAUCAUAUUCAUCAAUAAAACAAGCUGAACUAGAUGCCAUAAUUACUGUCCUAUCAGACAUUAUAGUACCCAUUAAUAUUAUCUCAGAUUCUCAAUAUGUUGUUAAGGUAACUUUCCAGAUAGAGACUAUUCAUAUUCCUGUCUCGGACCCUCCCAUUCAUCAGUUAUUUUUGAAAUUACAAGAUAUAGUUGGGAAUCGACAAUUUCCAUUUCAUAUUACUCAUAUCCGUUCUCAUUCUCAAUUACCAGGACCUUUAUCAGAAGGUAAUGACCAGAUUGAUGUUAAAUUAACUACACUCCUUACUCCCACUCAGUUUCAUGACUUAACUUAAAUUAACGUCAGAGGAUUACAACAUCGAUUUCAAUUAUCCUGACAACAAGCUAAAAAUACUGUUUCUCGAUGCCCUACAUGUCAGACUUCCACAAUAGUGCCCAUAAAUCAGGAAGGCGUAAUUCCUCGUAGAUUAUAUCCUAAUGACUUAUGGCAAACUGAUGUUACUCAUAUGCCCUCUUUUGGUAAUUUAGGUUUAAUACAUGUUUCCGUUGACACAUAUUCUGGAAUGAUUUUUGCUUCAGUUCAUAAUGGAGAAUCAACUACUCAGUGUAUCCCUCAUUUACAACAAGCUUUUGCCUAUAUGGGCCUACCAGAAACUAUAAAAACUAACAAUGGGCCUUCUUAUAAAGGUCAUAUCUUUCAAACAUUUUUAGCUAACUGGUCUAUUAAACAUAUUACAGGCAUUCCUUAUAAUCCUCAAGGAGAAGCCAUCAUCAAACGUGCCCACCUAACUUUAGAACUUAUACUACCAAAACAAAAAGGGGGAGAACAGUAUGGCUUGGGACCUCUUUCCCCUAUUUAAGGAUAAAAUAGCUCUAGCUCUUUUUACACUAAAUUUUUUGGACAUAAGAGGGCUAUAUUAAAAAAAAAAAGAGGGGUAUAUGAGAAACCAGCAGCUGAGGUUCACUGGAACUUUUCACAACAGACUAAAGAUACUUCCCUUAAAGUUUCUCCCUUACAGGAGGUUUGGCAAAAAAUAAUGUGGAAAGAGAACAGGGAAUGGAAGCAGGGUAUCAUGCUUAAACAAGGAAGAGGGUAUGCUCUUAUCUUAAUAGAGGAAAAUGAACACCGAUGGAUCCUGAGGAGGAGAAUCUGGUACUGGAGGGGAAAAAACAUGAUUUGAUAUAGACCCACCUUCCAGACCUCUGACGCAUGCCCUAUCACACCUUACAUUAGAACCUGGGCCUGCCAAGACCAAGCGAAUGUGAACUGCUACAAUACCCACUUGGGGGCAGAUAAAAAAGUUAUCACAGGAAGCUGAGAGCCUAGUUCAUCAUCGUGGCCUUCCAAAAACAUCUGCCAAUCUACUACUGGCUAUGGUAACCCUUAUCACAAUGUCGGUAAGUAUUCAAACUGAUUCCAGUCAUCAUUAUUGGGCAUAUAUUCCCAAUCCUCCUUUAUUAAGACCCAUUACAUAGGAAGAUUCAGUAUUCCCGUAUUUGUCAAUGAUUCAGCCUGGCUUCCUGGUCCUUAUGAUCAAAGCCUUCCUUUAAAAAAGGAAGAAGGAUGAUCUCUAAAAAAUUAUACAGUAAGAACAGACAGCACAUCCAUUUGUAUAGGAUUUGGAGAAUUCUGUUUAAAGACAGGAUUCCAGGGAUGGCUUUCUAUUGUAGAAAAGCCUGGAGAGAAUAAGAACACUUUUUUUUUCUUAUUAACAGCACUUACUUUUAAAGAAAGAGAAAAUUCCACCAUACAUUAUAGUGGUCCUAAUCUUCCAGGCUGUGCUUUAAGAAUAGGACGUGGUAUGGAUGGAGGACAGGGUCCAGUGGAAAAAUUGUAGAGGGUCUGAAGGUCAUCUGUUACUAAAUACUCCUGAGGGACAGAUACAGUUUGGGGCCCUAGAAGAACACCUGAGAUUAAAGGAACAAAUAUUUCUAGUCCACGGCUGUAUCAUCAUGAGGCAUGUGGGGCUGCAUCUUUGACGUGGCAUAGAGAGGGAUUUGCCCCCCGACCCGUUCCUCACCUCAUCCAUCACCCAGGACAGAAUGCGACUGGGGAGGCGCCUAUGGCCUCCAAAAGCCUUAAGGCUUGCAAUGGCCGUUAAACUGAAUAUGUCUUAAAUGAUCCUAUGGCAACUUUUAUUUUUUUUUUUUAUUUUUUUUUCUAAGGCAACUUAAUUUUACUAAAAAUUCUACUCAUAUUAUUCAGGCCUGUGUAAGAUUACCUUUUGUGUUUCUGUUAGGGCCAGCGAUAUGUAACAUUUCUACUAGUCUUAUAAAUUGUAUAAAUUGUUCUUUUUAUACGUGUUUAAACAAUACCAUUCCUUUCAAUGAAUCUUGGCAAAGUAUUUAUGUUUUAAAAACUCGGACAGGUAUUUGGAUACCAGUGGAUUUACAAAGAGGCUGGCAAAAAAGCCCUACUCUUUAUGCCAUAGAAGAAAUUAUAAAAGUAACUUUAAAAAGAACAAAAAGAUUUAUUGGUAUGUUAAUAGCAGCUAUUCUGCGAAUUAUAGCAAUCACCACCACUACAGCAGUGCCCAGAAUAGCAUUGCAUCAAUCUGUUCAUUUUGUACAAGAAUGGCAUAAGGAUGCAGACGUUCUUUGGUCCACUCAACAAAAAAUAGAUGAAAAAUUGGCUUCACAAGUGGCUGACUUACAACAAUCUGUUAUUUUAUUGGGAGGUCAAUUGGUAAGUCUACAAAAACAAUUAAGACUAAAGUGUGACUGGAAUUACACAUCAUUCUGUGUGACUGCACAUAAAUGUGAUCAAUCGACUUUUAACUGGGAUAAAGUUAAACUACACUUACUAAAUCAAGGAAAUAUUACAUUAGAUAUACAAGAGUUACAAUGUGACAUUCUAGACACCUUUAAUAAAAAACUUGAUGUGA